UUUCAGUGUGAUUUAUAAGAGAUAAAAUAAAUUAAAUUAAAAAAAAAAAUUUUUAAAUUAUAAAAGUAGAUUAAUAAAUCCUAUUGAAUUAAAUCAACAAGAAAGAUGUCAACAACCAAGUGUCCUAUUGGUCUUUCUGAUCCUUGUGAUUCAUCCAUUAUCAAUGACACAAAGAACCAGCAAUUAUCCACAUCAGAGAGAUUGAAUCAACUUGAGAAAGAGGUUAAUACACUUCGUUCAGAUUUUGACAAAAUGAAAUGGGAACAAGCAGUGGUUGAAACAGUUAUAGGACGAGCUAUAAUCAGAGGAUCUGCUUCGUUGAGUGGAUGUUAUGAACUUUUAUGUCCAAAGACCACAAAUAUUCAAGGCACUAAAAAUCUUAUGUUAGAGGAUGGGCAAAAAGAUCCUUUUUGUAAUUCCAAAUUAAAUUUACUCCAAAAAAAUUUAAGCCCGGAUAAAAAAACACCACCAUCACCAUCACCACCAGGACAAUCUGAGGCUGAGUGAGAAACAUACGUUGAGAAGAAAAUUUAACAGAAUAAAGCUUUGUCUGUACUUCUACAGAUUUAGACAUAAAUUUCAGUAUAAUAAUAGCUUGUUAUCGUUAUUAUAACGAUCUUGGAAUAUGCGUCAAUAAAUAGUUCAACUACGAUAAAUAAAAGAUUAUUAAAAAAAAUUAUGAUGUUCUACUUUAUGUAGAAUAGGAUUUUUUUAUGUUAAAGAUAAACUGAUGUCAUUCAAAAAAGAAAUAAACUGUACCAGUUUCAGAAAAAUCAGUUUCAUGUGGGAAAAUUUGAAGAUUAAAGUAAAGAACUCUUUUGUGGAAGAGACGACUAAAAAUUAUAAUUUUUUGUUGAAUGUGAACCUAUUCAGUGAGCUGAAAACUGAUCAUAGAAAAGCAAUCUUCUCAUAUAAUUAUACUGCUUUCGAAUAUUCAACGCUUGAAGAAUUUUGACAAUGAUUCCAACAUGCAUGAAACAGUGGACAAAUUUUGAGAUGCCUUUAAUAGCAAACCUGUACUCUCAUAUUAGCAGCUAGUGUACCUUCAAUAACAAAUUAUCAUCAUCAGUUCGUUAGUGGUAACUAAAUUUCAUUGAUAAUGAAUUAGCAAUUUCAUAUGAAAUUAUCUAUAGAACGAUUCAUCUGUAAUUGGUAGGGUGUGCAUGUUUAUUAUUAACGCGUUAUUUAGAUGAAUGUUAAUUUGCUUUGAAACUUCAAAACGCUUCAAAUGCAUAGGAAAUUUAUAUUUUAUCUUGAUCAAACGAUUCUGAAUUGAUUUUCCAAUUAAUUUUGCAGUGAAAAAUUUGAUUUUGUUUAUUUCACUCAUUUCAAAACUAUUAUUAAUUAAUUUUGAUAUUCUACUAAUCAUUUGUACUACCUUUUUAUUUUUUUAUUUAUUUACUGUAUUGAUUAUUUUUGUUUUUGGUUAGUCCCUGGUAAUUGAAACCUGAAAUUUAUUUAUCAUAAACUAUUUUGAUGUUCAAUUACACUGAAUACACACAUGAUGUUCACAAUUAUGUAUUCAUUCAAUUGUAAACAGUGAAAUGUCUAUCAGGAAUCAAAGUAUUUUAUUUUCAAUCAAGGAGAAACAAAUGCGACCUAAUUUUUUUUUUAAUUGAAUUCCAUGGCUUAUGUAAAAUCAUGCUAAUCUAUCAGAGGGUAUAGAAAUUGAAUGUAUA